rnacentral:rRNA from 1 species
UACGUAGGGUGCAAGCGUUGUCCGGAAUUAUUGGGCGUAAAGAGCUCGUAGGCGGUCUGUCGCGUCGGCUGUGAAAACCCGGGGCUCAACCCCGGGCCUGCAGUCGAUACGGGCAGACUAGAGUGCGGUAGGGGAGACUGGAAUUCCUGGUGUAGCGGUGAAAUGCGCAGAUAUCAGGAGGAACACCCGUGGCUAAGGCGGCUCUCUAGUACGGUACUGACGCUGAGACGCGAAAGCGCGGGGAGCGAACAGG